GGCUUAACACAUGCAAGUCGAACGAUAAGCUAGACUUCGGUUUAGUGGACAGUGGCAGACGGGUGAGUAACGCGUGGGAAUCUACCUUUGAGUGGGGAAUAACAAUUAGAAAUGAUUGCUAAUACCGCAUACACCCUCCGGGGGAAGGGCUUCGGCCGCUCUUAGAUGAGCCCGCGUACGAUUAGUUUGUUGGUGAGGUAAAGGCUCACCAAGACUACGAUCGUUAGCUGGUUUGAGAGGAUGAUCAGCCACACUGGGACUGAGACACGGCCCAGACUCCUACGGGAGGCAGCAGUGGGGAAUAUUGGACAAUGGGCGAAAGCCUGAUCCAGCCAUGCCGCGUGAGUGAAGAAGGCCUUAGGGUUGUAAAACUCUUUCGACAGGGAAGAUAAUGACGGUACCUGUAUAAGAAGCUCCGGCUAACUCCGUGCCAGCAGCCGCGGUAAUACGGAGGGGGCAAGCGUUGCUCGGAAUUACUGGGCGUAAAGCGAGCGUAGGCGGUUAAUCAAGUUGGUGGUGAAAGCCCGGAGCUCAACUCCGGAACUGCCAUCAAAACUGAUUUACUUGAGAUUGGUAGAGGAAAAUGGAAUUCCUAG
rnacentral:rRNA from 1 species